rnacentral:rRNA from 1 species
UCUGGGCAGUUACCUGACGCUGAGGAGCGAAAGCAUGGGGAGCGAACAGGAUUAGAUACCCUGGUAGUCCAUGCCGUAAACGUUGGGCACUAGGUGUGGGGCGGGUUCCACUCGUUCUGUGCCGCAGCUAACGUAUUAAGUGCCCCGCCUGGGGAGUACGGCCGCAAGGCUAAAACUCAAAGGAAUUGACGGGGGCCCGCACAAGCGGCGGAGCAUGCGGAUUAAUUCGAUGCAACGCGAAGAACCUUACCAAGGCUUGACAUGUACGAGAAAGCCCCAGAGAUGGGGUUCUCUUUGGACACUCGUACACAGGUGGUGCAUGGUUGUCGUCAGCUCGUGUCGUGAGAUGUUGGGUUAAGUCCCGCAACGAGCGCAACCCUUAUCCUAUGUUGCCAGCGGGUUAUGCCGGGGACUCACGGGAGACUGCCGGGGUCAACUCGGAGGAAGGUGGGGAUGACGUCAAAUCAUCAUGCCCCUUAUGUCUUGGGCUUCACGCAUGCUACAAUGGCCGGUACAGAGGGCUGCGAUACCGUGAGGUGGAGCGAAUCCCAAAAAGCCGGUCUCAGUUCGGAUCGGGGUCUGCAACUCGACCCCGUGAAGUCGGAGUCGCUAGUAAUCGCAGAUCAGCAACGCUGCGGUGAAUACGUUCCCGGGCCUUGUACACACCGCCCGUCAAGUCA